GACGAUCUUGUCAAUUAGUUGUUCUUUGGAAGUCAAGGGAGAAUGAGGAGGUGUUUGCUCUAUAGCUUCGACUUGGUGUUUUGGAACGCCAUGGUUUGGGCUUGCCGCGUUCUAACUGCGUGUGCUACCAGUUGCCAGCAUGCGCUGCUUCAAACGAACGAACUCCAUGAUCGAGCGGCCAGUUUGGAUCCAGUUGUGGUACUCCAAGCCUCAGAGGCUCGGCCUUGGAUGGACAAACGAGAUGCAGUGGUGCAAAGCUCCUAAACGUUAGUUUCUAUCCUUGUGCCCCUCGUAACGGGCAAAAAUCCAGGACUUGGCGAUGGAUCUGUCUAGCAUCCUUGUGAUCAAUUCGAUGCCAUCAAUCUUUCCUGAUCGAGUGUUUUUCUGUCUGCAGAGAUGCUGAAUUUUACAAGGAAAUAGGAAAAAA
rnacentral:lncRNA from 1 species